rnacentral:rRNA from 1 species
ACGGAAGGCAGCAGUGGGGGAUAUUGCACAAUGGGGGAAACCCUGAUGCAGCGACGCCGCGUGAGCGAUGAAGUAUUUCGGUAUGUAAAGCUCUAUCAGCAGGGAAGAAAAUGACGGUACCUGACUAAGAAGCUCCGGCUAAAUACGUGCCAGCAGCCGCGGUAAUACGUAUGGAGCAAGCGUUAUCCGGAUUUACUGGGUGUAAAGGGAGCGUAGACGGUGACGCAAGUCUGAAGUGAAAGGUGUGGGCUCAACCCGCAAACUGCUUUGGAAACUGUGUGACUAGAGUGUCGGAGAGGUAAGUGGAAUUCCUAGUGUAGCGGUGAAAUGCGUAGAUAUUAGGAGGAACACCAGUGGCGAAGGCGGCUUACUGGACGAUAACUGACGUUGAGGCUCGAAAGCGUGGGGAGCAAACAGGAUUAGAUACCCUGGUA